rnacentral:rRNA from 1 species
CAGCCGCCGCGGUAAUACGAAGGGGGCUAGCGUUGCUCGGAAUUACUGGGCGUAAAGGGCGCGUAGGCGGAUAGUUUAGUCAGAGGUGAAAGCCCAGGGCUCAACCUUGGAAUUGCCUUUGAUACUGGCUAUCUUGAGUUCGGGAGAGGUGAGUGGAAUGCCGAGUGUAGAGGUGAAAUUCGUAGAUAUUCGGCGGAACACCAGUGGCGAAGGCGACUCACUGGCCCGAUACUGACGCUGAGGCGCGAAAGCGUGGGGAGCAAACAGGAUUAGAUACCCCUGUAUCCCUGUCUCUUAUACA